UGUAGCUCAGUGGUAGAGUGCUUGUCUAGCACAUGUGACACCCUGAGUUCAAUCCUCAGCA
rnacentral:tRNA from 1 species